rnacentral:miRNA from 1 species
UGGGGGGGGGGGGGGGGGGGGUGGGGGGCUAGAAAUAAAAUUUCCCCUCCUUCCCUCUUUCCCCUUUUUUUAAAA